GAAGAACUUCUGCCAAUUUAAGUAAAAGUAAGUAAACAGUAGAGUGAACAAAAAGAAGUACCACUUGUUCUCAUGAAAGCAUAAUUUAGACAAAGAAAGUUAGUGCAUGGAUCUUCUAGAAGUAUUCGGAUGAAUGAUUAACUUGAAAAGUGAUUUCUAAUGCUAUAUGCAUCUUUUUUCAUGGUCACUUUAAUUCGAAUGGCAUUAUGCUCUUGUCACUAGUCCAAUCUGAGUGUGAAAACGAAUCCUCUUUUAACCACCUCAUUGUUUCUAAUGUUUCCAUUUGUGUAUACAAAAAAACAGUGAGUCAUAGUUUUGAGUUUAUAAAACUUAAUUAAGUAACUUACUCAUCAUGUUCACAUCUUGUUAUAGAUAGUCAAACACCACCGGCUAUUCAUGAUUCUUAUUACAUCUUUAGUUUGAAUGCGACCUUAUCUGUACAAAAGAAGCAGCAAGUUCUCUACCAUAACCUUAAGUACGUAUUCUUCCUUUGUCAUAUGCUUGACAAAAUUGGACCAAACUUCACAUUUCUAAUCAUCUCCCUAGUUAUUAGAAUCCAUGAACUCUCAAAUGUGUUCGUGUAUCCUUCAACGAUCCAAUUGAAUCUUUAGAGUUACUCUUCUUCCAGUCCCAAAUUAAAUUAUUUCUUUAGUGCAAGGAUAGGAGGUUAUAUGGAUCAGUUGCUUUGCUUUGUAGGCUGAGCUACGUGCGAAUGUGUUUGUGGCAAUUGAAGAUGAUGAUGAUAAAGUGGUUGAGAACUGCGGCUUUGUUGGGAAGCUGCAGUAAUCGUUCGUGCAAGGCGGCUUCAUGCUUCUCCUUCAGGCUUUAUAGCAAAAUGACUCUUGGAAGUCUGAACUAGCCGCGUCUUUAUUAGCAGCAAUGGUUACGAGCUCAACAGAAGCGGACCACUCCUUCUUGAAGGAUUCUUGAAAUAUUAGGUACUCUCCUUUUUUUUGUUCCAUUUGUCCAUAUGUAUGUAUACGUUUUCAUUUUCCAUUCUAUUGGUGUUCAAUCUUUACAAAACAUGCACCACCCUCUAAGAAGAGCUCAAAUUUGUACUUUUGAGUUCAUACCUCACCUCUUUCCAAGUACAUAACUUUUGUUCUUAGGUGUCUUAGUUAGGAGGUUAAAAGUCUUUCUCUUCUGCUCAGGUUUAGUGAUCAACAUUUUCUUUUUUCUGUUCCUUACAGAGCAAGACAGAGAUCAUGAAUGGUGGUAAUUCAAGGAAAGAAUCAGAAACAAAAUUUUCAUCAAGCCUUGAGCUCAAAUUUGUACUUUUGUAGUUCAUACCUCACCUCUUUCCAAGUACAUAACUUUUGUUCUUAGGUGUCUUAGUUAGGAGGUUAAAAGUCUUUCUCUUCUGCUCAGGUUUAGUGAUCAACAUUUUCUUUUUUCUGUUCCUUACAGAGCAAGACAGAGAUCAUGAAUGAUGGUAAUUCAAGGAAAGAAUCAGAAACAAAUUUUUCAUCAAGCCUUGAGUCUACAAAUACUCCUCACAGAUCAUCUGCUUCUGAUAGCUUGCGAAGAUAGAAGAGGUGAUAAAGAUGCAGCUGGAUAGGAAAACUCGGAACUUGACAUCGUCUUGGAGGAAGGUGAGGGAUGGAAGAAAUGAAAAAGAAGAAGGGAAGGAUUGAUUAAUCAAAUGCAGCUUAUAGUCAUAUGAUUUUUGAGUUAUCCUUUUUGUUUUUGUAACAUGUUUUGGCUGAACUUCCCUUAUGUCUCUUUGAGAAACUUUGGUUUGUCUGAAAAUAUCGUAUUAGUGUGACUACUACUAAAGUUGUUUUUGAGAUGACAAUCAAAGGAGGAAACAACAAUCAGUUUGUUAGAUAAUUCCAAGCUUGUGGAAACUUAACAUAUUAUUAGAUGUUUAAUAUGUUAAGAUAAACACAAUAAGAAAACCUAGAAAUAUGAAAAAGAAGUUUCUAUUUAGAUUAGGUUUGUGUUUUCCAUAUCCCACAUGUUAAAGGGAAUUGUCUUUCAUAUAAAUAUAGGUCUAAUGGAGAGGUGUUCCAUAUGAUCUGAGAGAAACAUAUUGUGAGCUUUAGUUUUGAGUAGUUUCUAAAGCUAAU